rnacentral:rRNA from 1 species
GGGUUGUGAGGUUAAGCGACUAAGCGUACACGGUGGAUGCCCUGGCAGUCAGAGGCGAUGAAGGACGUGCUAAUCUGCGAUAAGCGUCGGUGAGGUGAUAUGAACCGUUAUAACCGGCGAUUUCCGAAUGGGGAAACCCAGUGUGUUUCGACACACUAUCAUUAACUGAAUCCAUAGGUUAAUGAGGCGAACCGGGGGAACUGAAACAUCUAAGUACCCCGAGGAAAAGAAAUCAACCGAGAUUCCCCCAGUAGCGGCGAGCGAACGGGGAGGAGCCCAGAGCCUGAAUCAGUGUGUGUGUUAGUGGAAGCGUCUGGAAAGGCGCGCGAUACAGGGUGACAGCCCCGUACACAAAAAUGCACAUAUUGUGAGCUCGAUGAGUAGGGCGGGACACGUGGUAUCCUGUCUGAAUAUGGGGGGACCAUCCUCCAAGGCUAAAUACUCCUGACUGACCGAUAGUGAACCAGUACCGUGAGGGAAAGGCGAAAAGAACCCCGGCGAGGGGAGUGAAAAAGAACCUGAAACCGUGUACGUACAAGCAGUGGGAGCCUCUUUAUGGGGUGACUGCGUACCUUUUGUAUAAUGGGUCAGCGACUUAUAUUCUGUAGCAAGGUUAACCGAAUAGGGGAGCCGAAGGGAAACCGAGUCUUAACUGGGCGUUAAGUUGCAGGGUAUAGACCCGAAACCCGGUGAUCUAGCCAUGGGCAGGUUGAAGGUUGGGUAACACUAACUGGAGGACCGAACCGACUAAUGUUGAAAAAUUAGCGGAUGACUUGUGGCUGGGGGUGAAAGGCCAAUCMAAMCGGGAGAUAGCUGGUUCUCCCCGARYGCUAUUUAKGUAGCGCCUMGUGAWUUCAUCUCCGKGGGUACAGCACUGUUUCGGCAAGCGUGUCAUCCCCACUU